rnacentral:rRNA from 1 species
ACGCUGGCGGCGUGCUUAACACAUGCAAGUCGAACGGUGAACCAGAGCUUGCUCUGGGGAUCAGUGGCGAACGGGUGAGUAACACGUGGGCAACCUGCCCCAGACUCUGGGAUAACCUCGGGAAACCGAUGCUAAUACCGGAUACGACCACUUCGGACAUCCGACGGUGGUGGAAAGUUUUUCGGUCUGGGAUGGGCCCGCGGCCUAUCAGCUAGUUGGUGGGGUAAUGGCCUACCAAGGCGACGACGGGUAGCCGGCCUGAGAGGGCGACCGGCCACACUGGAACUGAGACACGGUCCAGACUCCUACGGGAGGCAGCAGUGGGAAUAUUGCACAAUGGGCGAAAGCCUGAUGCAGCGACGCCGCGUGAGGGACGACGGCCUUCGGGUUGUAAACCUCUUUCAGCAGGGACGAAGCGAAAGUGACUGUACCUGCAGAAGAAGCACCGGCUAACUACGUG